CCUGCCGGACCUGACUGCUAUCGGAUUGAUACUAAGCCAUGCGAGUCUUUGUAGUAAUACAAGGCAUACGGCUCAGUAACACGUAGUCAACCUACCCUAUGGACGAGAAUAAUCUCGGGAAACUGAGCAUAAUUCUUGAUAGAUCAUAAUGCCUGGAAUGGUUUAUGGUUAAAAUGAUUCGUCGCCAUAGGAUGGGACUGCGGCCUAUCAGCUUGUUGGUGAGGUAAUGGCCCACCAAGGCGAUUACAGGUACGGGCUCUGAGAGGAGAAGCCCGGAGAUGGGUACUGAGACACGGACCCAGGCCCUAUGGGGCGCAGCAGGCGAGAAAACUUUGCAAUGUGCGAAAGCACGACAAGGUUAAUCCGAGUGAUUUCUGCUAAAGAAAUCUUUUGCCAGUCAUAAAACCACUGGUGAAUAAGGGGUGGGCAAGUUCUGGUGUCAGCCGCCGCGGUAAAACCAGCACCUCAAGUGGUCAGGAUGAUUAUUGGGCCUAAAGCAUCCGUAGCCGGCUUUGUUAGUUUUCGGUUAAAUCCAUGUGCUCAACGCAUGGGCUGCCGAAAAUACUGCAUAGCUAGGGAGUGGGAGAGGUAGACGGUACUCAGUAGGAAGGGGUAAAAUCCUUUGAUCUAUUGAUGACCACCUGUGGCGAAGGCGGUCUACCAGAACACGUUCGACGGUGAGGGAUGAAAGCUGGGGGAGCAAACCGGAUUAGAUACCCGGGUAGUCCCAGCUGUAAACGAUGCAGACUCGAUGAUGCAUUGGCAUAAUAGCCAGUGCAGUGUCGCAGGGAAGCCGUUAAGUCUGCCGCCUGGGAAGUACGUACGCAAGUAUGAAACUU
rnacentral:rRNA from 1 species